AAUUUGAAUAGCUUAAUUAGAGCAUUAUAUUGAAGAUAUAAAGGUAAUAUUAAUAUUUUUAAAU
rnacentral:tRNA from 1 species